rnacentral:lncRNA from 1 species
CAUACACACUAGCACCGACAGAAAGAAUGCUUUGAAGAAAUUCCUCAAAGGUAAAAGGUAGCAUCUGUAUCAUUAUUUACCUUUCUCCUUGUUGUGACAAAAUACAAGAGAAAAACAAUUCAGGAUGGAGGGUUUCCUUUUGACUGGUCUCAGUCCACUGUGACAGGGAAAGCUCAUGAUCAGAGCAGACCGAACUUCAGAAACAGCGUUUCUGGGCAGCUCUACUCAUUGUGUUCUAAUCCAAGAAACAGAAGGACUUGGACAAAUGUAUGAAAGUAUUACAAACAAGCCAGUGGCCAGAGCGCACAGAUACCACCAACAUGUCACCUUGUAUCAAGGAUCCAUACACAGCUUUAUCAAAGAGGAUUACAGUGGAUGGACGAAAAGGAGGAAAAGAAGGAAGGACGAGGGAAGGAAGAAGAGGAACAGCAGGAGCAAGAAGAUUAUUGAAAGCACAGGAGUUCACUUAGAAGUAAUAUGGAAUUAAGCAAUGGAUAUGAAAGAAGAGAGAUAAACAAUCACACCCAGAGUGACUUCCCACUCUUCAUUGUCUCAUGCAAAGGAAAGACAUUCUCUGGGUGAGAUCCUUCCAAAGCAAACAUCCUGAGCACCUAUGCAUCCCACUUGUGGAUCACAGUAGCCAGCAGGCUGACUCACUUAUAUUCAUGCAACUCCCUGGUGCCAGUGAAUUACACUGAGAAUAUUCUAGGCAGCCACAUUGCUGGUGAUGAAAAGGUGGGGAAGUAGAGGGUUACCGAAA